UACAGAGGGGGCGAGCGUUGUUCGGAAUUACUGGGCGUAAAGGGCGCGUAGGCGGCCUUCUAAGUCGAACGUGAAAUCCCCGGGCUCAACCCGGGAACUGCGUCCGAUACUGGGAGGCUUGAAUCCGGGAGAGGGAUGCGGAAUUCCAGGUGUAGCGGUGAAAUGCGUAGAUAUCUGGAGGAACACCGGUGGCGAAGGCGGCAUCCUGGACCGGUAUUGACGCUGAGGCG
rnacentral:rRNA from 1 species